rnacentral:rRNA from 1 species
UAGGGAAUCUUCGGCAAUGGGGGGAACCCUGACCGAGCAACGCCGCGUGAGUGAAGAAGGUUUUCGUAUCGUAAAGCUCUGUUGUUAAGGAAGAACGAGUGUGAGAAUGGAAAGUUCAUGCUGUGACGGUACUUAACCAGAAAGGGACGGCUAACUACGUGCCAGCAGCCGCGGUAAUACGUAGGUCCCGAGCGUUGUCCGGAUUUAUUGGGCGUAAAGCGAGCGCAGGCGGUUAGAAAAGUCUGAAGUGAAAGGCAGUGGCUCAACCAUUGUAGGCUUUAGAAACUGUUUAACUUGAGUGCAGAAGAGGAAAGUGGAAUUCCAUGUGUAGCGGUGAAAUGCGCAGAGAUAUGGAGGAACACCAGUGGCGAAGGCGACUUUCUGAUCUGUAACUGACGCAGAUGUGCGAAAGCGGGGGGAUCAAACAGG